rnacentral:rRNA from 1 species
CAGGGAGAGGCCCCAUCUCUUUCAGCCGAAAACCUGUCGGCAAACCAUUACGUGUUAGUUGAAAACCAGUCCUAAACCAUAAUUGGUUGGGCUCCUCCUUUAAAAUGAAUCUUUAGGAAAGAACGAAAGAAGAGAAAAGAGCAACCAAAUAAAUGCAAAAUGACGCAGGUGUGUCGAACCUCAGUGCCGCCCGCUCGCACGCCAGGUAUCGAGAAGCAUGCCAAAGUAGUCUGACAUGUGCGUCAACAAAAGACCACCCAAUGUGAUGAGGGUGCAACUACUUUCAUUAGUAUCAACCAAAUACUGGAUCAAGAUUGUUUGCUUACAAAAGCUUCAAAGCCCACAUCAGCCAGAAACCUCUUGGCGUCUUCUGUCGGGUUCGAAAAGCACUACUUUGCCGGCCAUAGCAACGAAGUUGCAUAUAUCAGAUCAACAUGUCUGGAUUCUUACAAAGAAAAACCGGUUAAAGCUUGGGUUUGACCAACACCCACAUUUUAAUAAUCUGGUUACCUCUCGAGUCGAAGGCAUCCAUGCGCUUUUGAAAGGACAUUUCAAAAAGUCUACUUUAGAUCUUUUUGAGGCUUGGAAAGCUCUCAAACAUGCAAUGCUUAACCAGCUUAAAGAACUUCGUGUCAAUCUAGAUGCAAGCAUCACCAAAUGCAUAAUUAAACUGAUCAUAAAUUAAUGAGUAGUGUCUAAAGUUAGACCCGAAGCCUGGUGAUCUUACCACAAUCAGGACUAUAAAGGUCCGAACGGGUUAUCGUUGCAUUGAUAUCCGAAGAAUUGUGGUAAGCAAGUGAAAGACAAAGCUGACUAGGAUAGCUGGUUUUCUGCGAAACCUAUAAAAGUAGGCAAUUUGAUAACAUCUUAGCAGGUACAGAACUUCAUCUCAGGCAAGAUGUGUAUUAUAGGAAGAUUCCUAACACAUUUUAUUCUUGUACAGAUCGGGGAAUCGUGAAGAUUUUACCGGUGAGAUUGUAGACUCGGAAUGGCAAAGAUGAAUAUUUAAUUAUCGGACAUAGAAUGAUAAGGUUGUAUGUCAAAAGGGAAACAGCCCAGAACAAGAGUUAAGGUUCCAAAGUUAUUGUUAAGUGAAAUUAAGAAGGUUUUUAUUUAAGUCGACAAGGGGAUAGGCCUAGGAGCAGCCAUAAUUUAAAGAUCUCGUAACAGAGCACUUGUUAAGUUUUAAGAGCAUCGAAAAUUUAACGGAUCUAAAUAAUAUACCGAAACCUUGUCCAUAUUUAAAAAUAACUUAAAAAAAGAAAGCUUACUAGCUUUGUUAUUUUUAUUUAAUGGGGUAGCAGAACGUUGAGUGUAUACAAGAGCAUUCUUAUUUUAAGAAUAGUUCUAUAACUCAAGUGAGAAUGGUGACAUGAGUAACUAAAAAGAGUAUAUUAAAUACUCUCGCCUAAAGCUUAUGGCUAUAUUAUCAAGUAUCGGCCUCUAAGUUUUUAACCUCAAGGUUAUAACGAUGAGUGAAACUUAUUACUAAAUAUGACAACAUUUCUUAAGUGAGAAAUGUGCUGGAAAAAGAUUAGUAAGUACAUAUUUAUAUAAAAUAGAUAUGUAAAUAAACCGUACCUAGAAUCUGUGACAAGUAAGCUAGUAGAGAAUACGAAGGCGUAAAUGAGAUAACAAUCAUAAAGGAACUCGGCAAAUUGACUACCGUAACUUAGGGAUAAGGAGGGCUCAUUAGUCUUGAUUAAUAUCAGGUAAAAAGGAAGAAGCAUAAAAUAAUGUUGUACGACUGUUUAAUUAAAACAAAGCACUUUGCGUAAAAAUGAUAAAUCUAAGUAUAGAGUGUGAUCUCUGCCCGAUGCCGGCUGGUUAACGGAAAUAACUAAAUUGUGAAAGGUUUGGUGUAGAAGGAACCCCCGGUUAAUGGCGGCCUUAACGUGAGGGUCCUAAGGUAGCGAAAUGCCUUGGCCGUUAAAUGCGGUCUUGCAUGAAUGACGUAACGAUACAACAGCUGUCUCUAUGAUUGACUCAGUGAAAUUGGAAUAACUGUGCAGAUACAGUUUACCUCUAGGUAGACGAGAAGACCCUAUGCAGCUUUACUGUUACUAAUUAUUGAGUAUAAUAGACAAAUUUUAGAAGAUAAGGUAAUGGGUGGUUAAAUAAGCUAGGGCGCAAAACGCCCUCUAUUUCUCCCUUCAUGGAAUUGAAAUCCCUUUAUUUGGAGAUUAUACUGUAAGCGUAAGCUCUAAAUUUAUUUAGGGUUUACCAAAAACCCUGUAAGAGGGGACAUUUGCUAGGAGACAGUUUAUGCGGGGCACAGACCCCACAAAGAGUAAAUGGGAGUGUCCAACAAAUAAUUUGCAUAUUAAUUUAUGUAUUUUUAGUUUAUAACACAGACUGAGAACUUAUCUAGGAUUAACAUACUGUAGGUUUAUACCUACACUUGUUAUGAUUAGAGUGGUAACUGAGCAUACAGGCUUCAGUAAAUUUAUGUUUUUUAGGUAAGUAGACAACUAUGGUGAAGUUAGUAAUAGUAGUUAAUAAUAUUAUGAAAUAAAGUGUUAACUUCUUCUAAUAUUAUUAGAGAUAUUAUACUGCGCUUAAUCGCGUAAAGUAUAAUAAAAAAUUGUAAAACAUAUUGACAGGUUUAACGGCAAAAUCUUGCCUUACUGUUUGAUUAACAACAAAUCUUACAGUCGCGUAAGCGGGGCAUAGGAUCACGAGAUUCAAAAAGGAAAGGUCUUGGAUUAUUGGAAAAGCUACGCUAGGGAUGUUUGUCCUUCAAUGUUUAAUAAUAAUAGGACGGCGAUAUAAAAGG